AGGUCACUGCUAUCGGUGUUCGAUUAAGCCAUGCGAGUCGAGAGGGGUCAUGCCCUCGGCGGACUGCUCAGUAACACGUGGACAACCUACCCAAGAGUCUGGGAUAACCCCGGGAAACUGGGGAUAAUACCGGAUAGAUCAUCUUUGCUGGAAGGCUUGGUGGUUGAAACUUCAGGGGCUUUUGGAUGGGUCUGCGGCUGAUUAGGUUGUUGCCGGUGUAACGUACCGUCAAGCCUGUAAUCAGUACGGGUUGUGGGAGCAAGAGCCCGGAGAUGGAUUCUGAGACACGAAUCCAGGCCCUACGGGGCGCAGCAGGCGCGAAAACUCUACAAUGCAGGCAACUGCGAUAGGGGAAUAUCGAGUGAUCCUCAUAUUGGGGGUCUGUCCACCCGCCUAAAAAGCGGGUGUUAGCAAGGGCCGGGCAAGACCGGUGCCAGCCGCCGCGGUAAUACCGGCGGCUCGAGUGGUGGCCGAUAUUAUUGAGUCUAAAGGGUCCGUAGCCGGCUUUGCAAGUCUCUCGGGAAAUCCAGCGGCUUAACCGUUGGUCGUCCGGGGGGUACUACAUUGCUUGGGACUGGGAGAGGUAGGAGGUACUCAGGGGGUAGGAGUGAAAUCCUGUAAUCCUUUGGGGACCACCGGUGGCGAAGGCGUCCUACCAGAACAGGUCCGACGGUGAGGGACGAAAGCUAGGGGCACGAACCGGGUUAGAUACCCGGGUAGUCCUAGCCGUAAACGAUGCUCGCUAGGUGUCACAACAGUCGUGAACUGUUGUGGUGCCGUAGGGAAGCCGUGAAGCGAGCCACUUGGGAAGUACGACCGCAAGGUUGAAACUUAAAGGAAUUGGCGGGGGAGCACCACAACGGUGGAGCCUGCGGUUUAAU
rnacentral:rRNA from 1 species